AGAGUUUGAUCCUGGCUCAGAUUGAACGCUGGCGGCAUGCUUACACAUGCAAGUCGAACGCGAAAGGGGGCAACCCCGAGUAGAGUGGCGAACGGGUGAGCAAUACAUCGGAACAUGUCCUGUAGCGGGGGACAACCUCGAGAAAUCGAGGCUAAUACCGCAUACGAUCUACGGAUGAAAGUGGGGGACCGCAAGGCCCCACACUAUAGGAGUGGCCGAUGCCGGAUUAGCUAGUUGGUGGGGUAACGGCCUACCAAGGCGACGAUCCGUAGCUGGUUUGAGAGAACGACCAGCCACACUGGGACUGAGACACGGCCCAGACUCCUACGGGAGGCAGCAGUGGGGAAUUUUGGACAAUGGGCGAAAGCCUGAUCCAGCCAUGCCGCGUGAGUGAAGAAGGCCUUCGGGUUGUAAAGCUCUUUCGGCCGGGACGAAAUGGCGCGGGGUAACAUCCCGCGUCGAUGACGGUACCGGAAGAAGAAGGACCGGCUACUACGUGCCAGCAGCCGCGGUAAUACGUAGGGUCCAAGCGUUAAUCGGAAUUACUGGGCGUAAAGCGUGCGUAGGCGGUCUCGCAAGUCCGAUGUGAAAUCCCCGAGCUUAACUUGGGACUGCGUUGGAAACUAUGAGGCUAGAGUGCGGCAGAGGGGGGUGGAAUUCCAGGUGUAGCAGUGAAAUGCGUAGAGAUCUGGAGGAACACCGAUGGCGAAGGCNNNNNCUGGGCUAGCACUGACGCUGAUACACGAAAGCGUGGGGAGCAAACAGGAUUAGAUACCCUAGUAGUCC
rnacentral:rRNA from 1 species